UUCAAUUUAAGAUAAAGAAGAAAACCUUGUUUUCUUAUUAAGACAAACCCACAUUUUGCAGAGAGCAUACCAGUGUGUGUGUGUGUGUGUGUGUGUGUGUGUGUGUGUGUGUGUGUGUGUGCAUGUGUGUGUGUGCAUGUGUGCACAUGUAUGUAUGUGUGUGUAUGCACAUGUGUGUAUGCAUGUCUGUGCCUGUGUGUACAUGUCUGUAUGGUGUGUAUGCACACAUGAAUGCAUACAUGUAGAGGUAAGAGAUUAGUGGCAGAUGUCUUCCUCAAUCACCCUCCACACUAUAUUUUGAGGCAGGGUCUCUCAGUUAGUUAACCUGGAGCUUGCUGGGUUUUCUAAACUAGCCGGCCAGCAAGCUCAGUAACACCAUCCCCCCAUUUCCAUUUCUCUGGUGCUGAGACAAUGGGCAUGAGCCAGCACACUUAGCUUUUCACUCAGGUCCUCAAUGAGCCACCUCUGUACCCCAGGGCGAUAUACUUGAUGUUCUAACAUUACCCGUUGCUUGUCUGACAUGAAAUUUUAGCUGACCAUCCUGCUUUUUUUGUUGUUUGUUUGUUUGAUUUUUUUUUUUUUUUUUUUUGGCUGUAUGAGAGCCCUUAUGCAAAAGAGUUCCCGUUCAUGAACAAACAACAUGUUAAAGUGGGAAGGUCAGGUUCGGCCACAGAGUGCCAGUGAUGUUCAUAACUGAUACUUGGGAUGAAGGAAGCUUGACUUACAUUUACCAAUUCUCAGAGGGUAAAUACGCUUCUGGUGGCUUCAGGCUGCACCAGAGACCAAAAUGAAAGGCAGAAGAGUGAAUAGCACGGUGGGCUUUGCUAAGCCAGGAUGAGCCUGACUCUCCAUGCUAUGGCCCAGAAGACACAGGAUUGAAGACGCAAACAAUAAACAAAUAAGAAAAAUAAAAUAAAGCCUCUCACACUGCACCAUGGGAAGGUCUCGGUGGCUGCUUCCCCGUGUGUUACCUCAGCCUGAAACUUCUGUGAGGAAUGACUGUCUCUGUUGUUUGUUUGGUUUGUUGGCACCAGUGGGGGAAGGAGGCCAGAGAGAGUUCAAAAGUCCAGCUGCUCAGCAAAUCAGCUCUUCCUCCAUACCACCCUGCCUCUGUGGUCACUGGACUUGGAGCUCCAAGGGGCCCCAGAGCUAAGCAUAUCGACUUGUCCAGUGAUGACUGCUGCAAACCUGUAAUCCCAGCACUGGGGAGGAGGAGGUAGUAUAUCCCUGGGGAUCACUGGCCUGCCAGACCAGCCUACUUCAUGAGCUCCAGGCCAAUGAGAGAUAGUCUCAAAAUAACAAAAAGCAAAACAAAAGCAAUAGACAGUGUCUGAAGAACAACACCUAACAUUGUCAUUCACUCUCAGCAUGCACACACACACAUCACACCCAUACACAUGGGCAUACACACACACACACACAUCACACCCAUACACCUGGGCAUACACACACACACACAUCACACCCAUACACCUGGGCAUACACACACACAUACACACACACAUCACACCCAUACACCUGGGUAUACUCACACACACACAUCACACCCAUACACAUGGGCAUAC
rnacentral:lncRNA from 1 species